rnacentral:rRNA from 1 species
UACGAAGGGUGCAAACGUUGCUCGGAAUUAUUGGGCGUAAAGCGCACGUAGGCGGCUUUUCAAGUCCCAUGUGAAAUCCCACGGCUUAACCGUGGAAGUGCAUGGGAAACUGGAAAGCUUGAGUACUUAAGAGGAUCGCGGAAUUCCCGGUGUAGAGGUGAAAUGCGCAGAUAUCGGGAAGAACACCCGUGGCGAAGGCGGCUCUCUGGGACGGUACUGACGCUGAGACGCGAAAGCGUGGGGAGCGAACAGG